rnacentral:rRNA from 1 species
AUUGAACGCUGGCGGCAGGCUUAACACAUGCAAGUCGAGCGAGCGGCGGCCGGGUGAGUACUGUCUGGGAAACUGCCUGAUGGAGGGGGAUAACUACUGGAAACGGUAGCUAAUACCGCAUACCAUCAGAUGUGCCCAGAUGGGUUUAGCUAGUAGGUGGGGUAAUGGCUCACCUAGGCGACGAUCCCUAGCUGGUCUGAGAGGAUGACCAGCAACACUGGUACUGAGACUGUGUCCGUAUUUCUAGGGGAGGAAGGAGUGGGUAAUAAGGAACAGUGGGUGCAAGCGGGAUGCAGCCAUGCCGCGUGUGUGAAGAAGUCCGUCGGGUUGUAAUGCACUUUCAGCGAGGAGGCGUGACUCGCAGAAGCAGCACCGGCUAGGUCCGUGCGAGCAGCCGCGGUAAUUC